rnacentral:rRNA from 1 species
CUCUCCAACCCAUUGUGAACUUACCAAACGUUCCCUCGGCGGGCUCAGCGCGCGGUGGCCUCCGGGCCUCCGGGCGUCCGCCGGGGAAAACCAAACCCUGAUUUAAUCGUAUUUCUCUGAGGGGCGAAAGCCCGAAAACAAAAUGAAUCAAAACUUUCAACAACGGAUCUCUUGGCUCUGGCAUCGAUGAAGAACGCAGCGAAAUGCGAUAAGUAAUGUGAAUUGCAGAAUUCAGUGAAUCAUCGAAUCUUUGAACGCACAUUGCGCCCGCCGGCACUCCGGCGGGCAUGCCUGUCCGAGCGUCAUUUCAACCCUCAGGCCCACCCUUCCGGGGGAGCGGGCCUGGUGCUGGGGAUCGGCGGCCCUCGAGGCCCCCGUCCCUCAAAUUCAGUGGCGGUCGCGCCGCAGCCUCCCCUGCGUAGUAGCACAACCUCGCACCGGAGAGCGGAACGACCACGCCGUGAAACCCCCAAUUUUUUUAAGGUUGACCUCGGAUCAGGUAGGAAUACCCGCUGAACUUAAGCAUAUCAAUAAGCGGAGGA